AGUGGCGGACGGGUGAGUAACGCGUGAGAAUCUGCCUUGGGGUCGGGGACAACCACUGGAAACGGUGGCUAAUACCGGAUAAGCCUAUUGGUGAAAGAUUUAUUGCCCGAAGAGGAGCUCGCGUCUGAUUAGCUAGUUGGUGAGGUAAGAGCUCACCAAGGCAGCGAUCAGUAGCUGGUCUGAGAGGACGAUCAGCCACACUGGGACUGAGACACGGCCCAGACUCCUACGGGAGGCAGCAGUGGGGAAUUUUCCGCAAUGGGCGAAAGCCUGACGGAGCAAGACCGCGUGAGGGAGGAAGGCUCUUGGGUUGUAAACCUCUUUUCUCAGGGAAGAAGCUCUGACGGUACCUGAGGAAUCAGCCUCGGCUAACUCCGUGCCAGCAGCCGCGGUAAUACGGAGGAGGCAAGCGUUAUCCGGAAUUAUUGGGCGUAAAGCGUCCGCAGGUGGCGAUUCAAGUCUGCUGUCAAAGCACGGGGCUUAACUCCGUAAAGGCAGUGGAAACUGAAUAGCUAGAGUGCCGUAGGGGUAGAGGGAAUUCCCGGUGUAGCGGUGAAAUGCGUAGAGAUCGGGAAGAACAUCGGUGGCGAAAGCGCUCUACUGGACGGCAACUGACACUCAGGGACGAAAGCUAGGGGAGCGAAUGGGAUUAGAUACCCC
rnacentral:rRNA from 1 species